rnacentral:rRNA from 1 species
GACGAACGCUGGCGGCGUGCUUAACACAUGCAAGUCGAACGGUAAGGCUCCAGCUUGCUGGGGUACACGAGUGGCGAACGGGUGAGUAACACGUGGGUGACCUGCCCUGCACUUCGGGAUAAGCCUGGGAAACUGGGUCUAAUACCGGAUAGGACCGCACCGUGAGGGUGUGGUGGAAAGUUUUUUCGGUGUGGGAUGGGCCCGCGGCCUAUCAGCUUGUUGGUGGGGUAAUGGCCUACCAAGGCGGCGACGGGUAGCCGGCCUGAGAGGGUGGACGGCCACAUUGGGACUGAGACACGGCCCAGACUCCUACGGGAGGCAGCAGUGGGGAAUAUUGCACAAUGGGCGGAGGCCUGAUGCAGCGACGCCGCGUGGGGGAUGACGGCCUUCGGGUUGUAAACUCCUUUCACCAUCGACGAAGGGUUUCUGACGGUAGAUGGAGAAGAAGCACCGGCUAACUACGU